GUGCCAGCCGCCGCGGUAAUACGGAGGGAGCUAGCGUUGUUCGGAAUUACUGGGCGUAAAGCGCGCGUAGGCGGCUCAUUAAGUCAGAGGUGAAAUCCCGGGGCUCAACCCCGGAACUGCCUUUGAAACUGGCGAGCUAGAAUCCUGGAGAGGCGAGUGGAAUUCCGAGUGUAGAGGUGAAAUUCGUAGAUAUUCGGAAGAACACCAGUGGCGAAGGCGACUCGCUGGACAGGUAUUGACGCUGAGGUGCGAAAGCGUGGGGAGCAAACAGGAUUAGAAACCCCAGUAGUCC
rnacentral:rRNA from 1 species